rnacentral:tRNA from 1 species
GCCUCGGUGGCUCCGAGGCGAGAGCGCCGGCCUGCGGAUCCCUGCAGGUGGCGGGUUCGAAUCCCGACCGAGGUG